rnacentral:rRNA from 1 species
CCUACGGGGGGCAGCAGUGGGGAAUAUUGGACAAUGGGCGAAAGCCUGAUCCAGCCAUGCCGCGUGUGUGAAGAAGGCCUUCGGGUUGUAAAGCACUUUCAGUGGGGAAGAAAGCCUUGGGGCUAAUACCCUCGAGGAAGGACAUCACCCACAGAAGAAGCACCGGCUAACUCCGUGCCAGCAGCCGCGGUAAUACGGAGGGUGCGAGCGUUAAUCGGAAUUACUGGGCGUAAAGCGCGCGUAGGCGGUCUGAUAAGCCGGUUGUGAAAGCCCCGGGCUCAACCUGGGAACGGCAUCCGGAACUGUCAGGCUAGAGUGCAGGAGAGGAAGGUAGAAUUCCCGGUGUAGCAGUGAAAUGCGUAGAGAUCGGGAGGAAUACCAGUGGCGAAGGCGGCCUUCUGGACUGACACUGACGCUGAUGUGCGAAAGCGUGGGUAGCAAACAGGAUUAGAUACCCCUGUAGUC